rnacentral:rRNA from 1 species
UACAGAGGCCCCAAGCAUUAUCCGGAAUCACUGGGCGUAAAGGGUGUGUAGGCGGCGCUGUUAGUCUCUCGUAAAAGCUCUCGGACUCAAUCCGGGAAAUGCGGGGGAAACGGCAGUGCUAAGAGGACGCGAGAGGUAGAGGGAACUCAUGGUGUAGGGGUGAAAUCCGUUGAUAUCAUGGGGAACACCAAAUGCGAAGGCACUCUACUGGCGCGCUCCUGACGCUGAAACACGAAAGCGUGGGAAUCGAACGGG